rnacentral:lncRNA from 1 species
AGAGCGAGACUCCCUCUCAAAAAAAAAAAAAAAACUGUUAGAAUGCCUAUUAGCUGCAUGAGGGGAAACAGUAACCAGAAAGUAGAGGACUGGACAACAUCUGGACCAAGGGAUCAAAAUUAACAUCAAUAAGGAAGUCGCUAUGCACAGUUCACACUUAAGGACUGAGGAAGAGUUAUGUUCCAUCUCCUUGAAGUCCUAGAAUCAGGCGUUUCUUUAAGAGGCCCUACUUCCUCUAAUUGGAUAAUUCUAGAAACCGGUAUUUGAAUCUGAGGUUUAACUAAAGAGAAUACCUUCUACUGAUGUAACAGCAAUGGUAAUUGGUAUAAAGGCAAAAGCAUGUGCAAAGGAGAAAUCACAACAAAGGCCACUUAUUGAAAUAAAACCUAUUAAAAAUGAGGCCAUAAUCCCAAACAAAUUAAUGCAGUGAUAGAAAACCAAAUACCUCACGUACUCACUUCUAUGUGGGAGCUAAACAUUGAACACAUAUGGGAACAAUAGACACUGCAGACUACCAGAGUGGGGAGGUCGAGAUGGGAGUGUGGAUGGAAAAACUACCUAUUGGGUACAAUGCUCACUGACUGGAGGCAAUGUAUUCAUGUAACAAGCCUGCACAUGUACCCUGUACCGAAAAUAAAAGUUGAAAAAAAAGUCUUUAACUUCACUUAAUAACUAAAAUGGCCAUUUAAAACUGUAUCUAAAUAUGUAUCACAAACAUGUCUUUUAUUAAAUAUGGAUAAUAAGGGAUAUUUUAAUCUCUAUUAAAAAUAUCAAAAUAUAAUGCCAGUUUCAUAUAUGCAUAUUAAUUAUGAGAAAAUAAUUAAAAUAGUGAUUUCUUACAAAGUAGUAUCAAUAUAGUUGAAAAUACUCUCAGUGGAAAGGAAACCAUUAAAUAUACACAACGAGUCUCCAACAGAUUAUUGGUAUUAAUAAGUAAAUUGUUUAGAGUGCUAUUUGUUAUUAUUUGGAAUUUAUUAGGCAAAGUGUCAAAUAAGCAGGCAAUAUGAAUCUCUUUCCUUAACCAUAAUGAGUAAACACUGUCAUGGAAACAUUAAAAGUCUUUCAUUUGGAAAGACCCCAAGAAUUCAUGAGCUGAAAGGGUUUUAAUAUAGGGAACUCUCAUCAGUAAAGUGGAACUUUUGAAAAAGCAUAUUUUGGAGAAUCAUAGUAAAGUUUUACAUUGUUUGUAAAGUUUAACGUCACAGCAAUUCUUCAUAGAAAAAAAUCUUAAAUCUAAGAUUGUCAAUCCACUUCUUUUCGAGUAUUGUAGUCACUUAGAAAUAGCAGUUAAAAUUGAAAAAAAACCUCUUAAAAGCAUUGACUUUUAUACUUCAUUCCAACUAAACAAUUCACUAUUUACUUAUUUCACAGUUAAUCUCUAUGCUAAAUCUGAAAGUAUGCUCUCAAUAACAACUAUAAUAAAAGAAUGUUGGGAUAAUGACACAAGAUGAUAAAAGCAAGGAAAUGCUCAUUUAAGGAUAUAAUCUCUGUCAUAUAUACGAGCUUUAAGUAGAAAUGAGGUAGGAUAAAUGCUUCACAAAAAGUUAUCCAGAGAAUUCCUAUAGAACAAAGACUUAUCAAAAGGUGAUACUUUCCAAUCCUUGUUGACAAAGACUUUCUAAUAUAAGAUAUAUUGUUCUAUAAAACUAUGUGCAAAUUAAUUUCCUAGGCAAGAGUUCCUCACCAUCUUUAGGUAACUGAAAAUUUAUAGAAGAAUCGUAAAACUAAUUUUGUUAGUGGCAGUGUUUGGUUAAUUAGUAGGGCAGAAGUAAUGCUGUGUGGUCAGCAAACCCAUUUUUUUUUUCCUUCAGAUAGGAUCUCACUCUGUCACCCAGGCUGAAGUG